UACGAAGGGGGCUAGCGUUGCUCGGAAUCACUGGGCGUAAAGGGUGCGUAGGCGGGUCUUAAGUCAGGGGUGAAAUCCUGGAGCUCAACUCCAGAACUGCCUUUGAUACUGAAGAUCUCGAGUUCGGGAGAGGUGAGUGGAACUGCGAGUGUAGAGGUGAAAUUCGUAGAUAUUCGCAAGAACACCAGUGGCGAAGGCGGCUCACUGGCCCGAUACUGACGCUGAGGCACGAAAGCGUGGGGAGCAAACAGG
rnacentral:rRNA from 1 species